rnacentral:lncRNA from 1 species
CAAAAAGAAGCUAUAAGCAUUUGUAUUUGCAGAAGAGAUGGUUUACUUCCUCUGUGGGUAACCAGGUUAUCAGAUUUGGUGUUUUCCAAAGAAAAGGCACAUGGCAUGAUUCCACUUCUUGGCUCCCAUAGGGAAAAGAAGACAAGUAAAGAGAUGAAGACUUCUUCCAGGAACCUGAGGUACUUCAUUGUCUGCAGAGAUGCCUCAUCCUACACCCCUCAGUCACUCAUAUCUGGAUACAUUGGACCUUGUCAACAUCAAUAAUGGACAUACCUCUGAUAUUUGAACUCUGAAUCUCACUCUGUGACCACAACUUUGUAUCUUUCUAAG